rnacentral:rRNA from 1 species
UACGAAGGGGGCUAGCGUUGCUCGGAAAUCACUGGGCGUAAAGGGUGCGUAGGCGGGUUUUUAAGUCAGAGGUGAAAUCCUGGAGCUCAACUCCAGAACUGCCUUUGAUACUGAAAGUCUUGAGUAUGGGAGAGGUGAGUGGAACUGCGAGUGUAGAGGUGAAAUUCGUAGAUAUUCGCAAGAACACCAGUGGCGAAGGCGGCUCACUGGCCCAUUACUGACGCUGAGGCACGAAAGCGUGGGGAGCAAACAGG